rnacentral:rRNA from 1 species
ACCUGGUUGAUCCUGCCAGUAGUCAUAUGCUUGUCUCAAAGAUUAAGCCAUGCAUGUCUAAGUACAAGCCUAAAUAAGGUGAAACCGCGAAUGGCUCAUUAAAUCACACCUAAUAUACUGGAUAUUCUCAGUUACUUGGAUAACUGCGGUAAUUCUGGAGCUAAUACAUGCGAAAAAAUCCCGAACUUACGUGAGGGAUGCUUUUAUUAGAUCAAAACCAAUUUAAAAACUUGGUGACUCUGAAUAACAUUUGCAGAUCGCAUGGCUUUACGCCGGCGACGUAUCCUUCUAAGGUGUGCCCUAUCAACUGUCGACUGUGGCAUAGACGCCCACAGUGGUUUUGNNNNNNUAACGGGGAAUCAGGGUUCGAUUCCGGGGAGGGGAGCCUGAGAAACGGCUACCACUUCUAAGGGAGGCAGCAGGCACGCAAAUUACCCAAKGGUCGAAGACCGAGGUAGUGACGAAAAAUAACGAAGCCGGACUCAUCCGAGGCCCGGUUAUCGGAAUGAGUACACUUUAAAUCCUUUAACGAGGAACAAUUGGAGGGCAAGUCUGGUGCCAGCAGCCGCGGUAAUUCCAGCUCCAA